rnacentral:rRNA from 1 species
UUGAACGCUGGCGGCAGGCCUAACACAUGCAGGUCGAACGGUAACAGGAAGCAGCUUGCUGCUUCGCUGACGAGUGGCGGACGGGUGAGUAAUGUCUGGGAAGCUGCCUGAUGGAGGGGGAUAACUACUGGAAACGGUAGCUAAUACCGCAUAAUGUCGCAGGACCAAAGAGGGGGACCUUCGGGCCUCUUGCCAUCGGAUGUGCCCAGAUGGGAUUAGCUUGUUGGUGGGGUAACGGCUCACCAAGGCGACGAUCCCUAGCUGGUCUGAGAGGAUGACCAGCCACACUGGAACUGAGACACGGUCCAGACUCCUACGGGAGGCAGCAGUGGGGAAUAUUGCACAAUGGGCGCAAGCCUGAUGCAGCCAUGCCGCGUGUAUGAAGAAGGCCUUCGGGUUGUAAAGUACUUUCAGCGGGGAGGAAGGGAGUAAAGUUAAUACCUUUGCUCAUUGACGUUACCCGCAGAAGAAGCACCGGCUAACUCCGUG